GAUGAACGCUAGCUACAGGCUUAACACAUGCAAGUCGAGGGGAAACGAUGAGAGAGCUUGCUCUCUUAGGCGUCGACCGGCGCACGGGUGAGUAACGCGUAUCCAACCUACCCAUUACAGGGGGAUAACCUUGCGAAAGUAAGACUAAUACCCCAUGGCAUUUUAUGGUGGCAUCAUUAUAGGAUUAAAGAUUUAUUGGUAAUGGAUGGGGAUGCGUCUGAUUAGCUUGUUGGCGGGGUAACGGCCCACCAAGGCAACGAUCAGUAGGGGUUCUGAGAGGAAGGUCCCCCACAUUGGAACUGAGACACGGUCCAAACUCCUACGGGAGGCAGCAGUGAGGAAUAUUGGUCAAUGGGCGAGAGCUUGAACCAGCCAAGUAGCGUGCAGGAUGACGGCCCUAGGGGUUGUAAACUGCUUUUAUAGGGGAAUAAAGUGAGCUACGUGUAGUUUAUUGCAUGUACCCUAUGAAUAAGGACCGGCUAAUUCCGUG
rnacentral:rRNA from 1 species